GUGUCAGCAGCCGCGGUAAUACGAACCGUCCAAACGUUAUUCGGAAUCAUUGGGCUUAAAGGGUACGUAGGCGGCGCUGUCAGUCGGGUGUGAAAGCCCUCGGCUCAACCGAGGAAUUGCGCCCGAUACUGCAGUGCUUGAGGGAGACAGAGGUAAGCGGAACUGAUGGUGGAGCGGUGAAAUGCGUUGAUAUCAUCAGGAACACCAGUGGCGAAAGCGGCUUACUGGGUCUCUUCUGACGCUGAGGUACGAAAGCUAGGGGAGCGAACGGGAUUAGAUACCCCGGUAGUCCUAGCUGUAAACGCUGAGCACUUGAUCGAGGAUCCCCCCAUAGGUUCUCGGUCGUAGCGAAAGUGGUAAGUGCUCCGCCUGGGGAGUAUGGUCGCAAGGCUGAAACUUAAAUGAAUUGACGGGG
rnacentral:rRNA from 1 species